GGGGGUGUAGCUCAGUUGGUUAGAGUGCCGGCCUGUCACGCCGGAGGUCGCGGGUUCGAGUCCCGUCACUCCCG
rnacentral:tRNA from 1 species